GACGAACGCUGGCGGCGUGCUUAACACAUGCAAGUCGAGCGAGGCCCCUCCUUCGGGAGGGUGUCCUAGCGGCGAACGGGUGAGUAACACGUGGGCAACCUGCCCUCAGCUCUGGGAUAACUCCGGGAAACCGGGGCUAAUACCGGAUACGACCUCCACGGGCAUCUGCGGAGGUGGAAAGUUUUUCGGCUGAGGAUGGGCCCGCGGCCUAUCAGCUAGUUGGUGGGGUAGUGGCCCACCAAGGCGACGUCGGGUAGCCGGCCUGAGAGGGCGACCGGCCACACUGGGACUGAGACACGGCCCAGACUCCUACGGGAGGCAGCAGUGGAGAAUAUUGCGCAAUGGGCGAAAGCCUGACGCAGCGACGCCGCGUGAGGGACGAAGGCCUUCGGGUUGUAAACCUCUUUCAGCAGGGACGAAGCGAAAGUGACGGUACCUGCAGAAGAAGCACCGGCCAACUACGUG
rnacentral:rRNA from 1 species